rnacentral:miRNA from 1 species
GAGAGAGAGAGAGAGAGAGAGAGAGAGAGAGAGAGAGAGAAAUGGAAACACAUGUUUCCAUUAUUAGAUAAUUUUGAGCUUGAAUUAAGAAACCUUACCAGCUUUCUGUGGGAGAGCAAUCCAAUUCCCACCAGUCCCUUGCUUCUCUAUGUACUCCUUCAGCUUCGAGUCUUCUUCUGGUGACCAUGGCCCCUUCUUCACAUUUGCCUUGUCACAACAAGGAGCCCUACCCAUCUCUCUCUCUCUCUCUCUCUCUCUCUCUCUCUCUCUCUCU